AUCUGCGUAUAGGAGGUCUUGCCUGCCCAGUGACAAGUUAAACGGCCGCGGUAUUUUGACCGUGCGAAGGUAGCGCAAUCACUUGUCUUUUAAAUGAAGACCUGUAUGAAUGGUGGAACGAGGGCUUAACUGUCUCCUUUUUCAAGUCAAUGAAAUUGAUCUGCCCGUGCAGAAGCGGACAUACAAAUACAAGACGAGAAGACCCUUUGGAGCUUAAGAUACAAAAUCAACUACGUCAAGAACCCAGGUUAAACUAAGUAGCCCUUGAUCAACUAUCUUCGGUUGGGGCGACCACGGGAGAAAACAGAGCUCCCAAGAGGACUGGGGCAACCCCCUAAAACCAAGAGAAACAUCUCCAAGACACAGAAUAUCUGACCAUAAAGAUCCGGCCACCCGCCGACCAACGGACCAAGUUACCCCAGGGAUAACAGCGCAAUCCUCUUCCAGAGUCCAUAUCGACAAGAGGGUUUACGACCUCGAUGUUGGAUCAGGACAUCCUAAUGGUGCAGCCGCUAUUAAGGGUUCGUUUGUUCAACGAUUAAAGUCCUACGUGAUCU
rnacentral:rRNA from 1 species